rnacentral:rRNA from 1 species
GUGUCAGCCGCCGCGGUAAUACAUAGGUGGCAAGCGUUAUCCGGAUUUAUUGGGCGUAUAGGGUGCGUAGGCGGUUGAUUAAGUUUGAGGCUAAAGCCCGGAGCUCAACUCCGGUUCGCCUUGAAAACUGAUUAACUAGAAUACAGGAGAGGUAGAUGGAAUUCCAUGUGUAGCGGUGAAAUGCGUAGAUAUAUGGAGGAACACCAGUGGCGUAGGCGGUCUACUGGCCUGUAAUUGACGCUGAGGCACGAAAGCGUGGGGAGCAAAUAGGAUUAGAUACCCUAGUAGUCCACGCCGUAAACGUUGAGUACUAAGUGUCGGCAAUUGUCGGUGCUGCAGCUAACGCAUUAAGUACUCCGCCUGAGUAGUAUGCUCGCAAGAGUGAAACUUAAAUAAAUUGGCGA